ensembl:lncRNA novel transcript, antisense to COX4NB
CCUUGUGAUUAGGCUAAAAAAAAUUAAUAAUGUUUUUAAAAAACAAAUUAUUUUAUAUGAUUAUUGUAUUUUCGUUUUCAAAAUUGACAAAGUGAUGUACUGAUUAUAAAUCUGCAGUAUUAAGAAAAAUAUGACUUAAAAAUGUGACUGUGUUAAGAAAAAUAUGACUUAAGAGGGAAGGGGAGGUUUUCAGGUAGAAGCCAAUCGUACUGAAGAAAGCAGUGCGAUGGUGGCUCCUAGCGCAGAGGGAAGGCAGUGCUUCACUGCACUGACCAGGACUCGGUGGGCGCCAGGUCCCCACAGCACUAACGGCAAGUGGUGAAGAGUGGGUACAGAGCCCUCAGGAGGCCUGCCCAUGUACCCACCUCUGCCUGCUCCUGCAUUUGCUGAGGAACUUGGAAAGCAAAAGGCAGGGCCGCUUGCCAUGAAGAGCUUGCAAAGCCCUUACCCUCCUACUUAACACUGAUCAUGCUGGUUGUUGAUUUUUAUUGGGGAGAGGGUAAGGAAACACUCAUUAAAAAGAAAAACUACCAUUGCAGAUGCUCAAGAACUCUUAACAUCUGUCUUUCUAUUCACUGAUUUUUGAGAUGGGGUCUUGCUCUGUUGCCCAGGCUGGAGUACAGUGGCGAGAUCAUGGCUCACUGCAGCCCCAACUGCCCAGGCUCAAGCGAUAUCAAACAGAGGACAUC